rnacentral:rRNA from 1 species
GAUGAACGCUAGCUACAGGCUUAACACAUGCAAGUCGAGGGGCAGCGCAGUGUAGCAAUACACGGGCGGCGACCGGCGCACGGGUGCGUAACGCGUAUCCAACCUUCCCGUUACUCAGGGAUAGCCUUCCGAAAGGGAGAUUAAUACCUGAUGGUGUUCAAAUUCCGCAUGUUAUUUGAACUAAAGAUUCAUCGGUAACGGAUGGGGAUGCGUGACAUUAGAUAGUAGGCGGGGUAACGGCCCACCUAGUCUACGAUGUCUAGGGGUUCUGAGGGGAAGGUCCGCCACACUGGAGCUGAGACACGGUCCAGACUCAUACGGGAGGGAGAAGUGAGGAAUAUUGGUCAAUGGUCGGAAGACUGAACCAGCCAAGUAGCGUGAAGGAUGAAGGUUCUAUGGAUUGUAAACUUCUUUUAUACGGGAAUAAAACCUCCCACGUGUGGGAGCUUGUAUGUACCGUAUGAAUAAGCAUCGGCUAACUCCGUGCCAGCCGCCGCGGUAAAAC